rnacentral:lncRNA from 1 species
UUUAUUAAAUAGAGGUUGUAAUCCACAAUCUUGGAACCUGGAAGAUCAGAAAGAUGAAGUACUAAAAUCUGCUCACAGAUCCCUUUCAGGGUCUCGUGAGGGACCUUGACUUAUCUGUUCAGGCAAGGCAAUAUUCUUUCAUAAAGCAUUUUCUAAAGAAGGACAAUUCACAACCCUCCCCAGACCGCCUCCAAGGCCUCCACAUUCACACAUAUCUAGCUAGCAAAGGAAGCAACACAUUAGUUAUAUGAAAAGUGUGAUCAUUAAGUUUUGAAAUCUGUUCUCUAUUUUCCCCAACCAUCAUCAUGGCAGGAAAUCCAUUCUCAAAUUUUCAUCCUUUCUACUUUAAUACAAAAAUAUCUCAAUCCUAGAAUUGACUAAUAUUAAGACUAACCGGGGAGUGCCAUUCCAAUCCAGAACUACUAGAAUGGUCAUUUGUCACUGUUAUGUAUCGGAUAGCCUAUUCUAGUAGACCAGGAACUGGCUCACAGCCACUAGACAAGUGUCAAAUACGUUCUCAAUAAAUUCAAUCUGUGGCAUUAAACUGAAUCUUUU